GACGAACGCUGGCGGCGUGCUUAACACAUGCGAGUCGAACGGAAAGGCCCUGCUUUUGUGGGGUGCUCGAGUGGCGAACGGGUGAGUAACACGUGAGUAACCUGCCCUUGACUUUGGGAUAACUUCAGGAAACUGGGGCUAAUACCGGAUAGGAGCUCCUGCUGCAUGGUGGGGGUUGGAAAGUUUCGGCGGUUGGGGAUGGACUCGCGGCUUAUCAGCUUGUUGGUGGGGUAGUGGCUUACCAAGGCUUUGACGGGUAGCCGGCCUGAGAGGGUGACCGGCCACAUUGGGACUGAGAUACGGCCCAGACUCCUACGGGAGGCAGCAGUGGGGAAUAUUGCACAAUGGGCGGAAGCCUGAUGCAGCAACGCCGCGUGCGGGAUGACGGCCUUCGGGUUGUAAACCGCAUUCGCCUGUGACGAAGCGUGAGUGACGGUAAUGGGUAAAGAAGCACCGGCUAACUACGUG
rnacentral:rRNA from 1 species